ACGUUCUCACUUGAAGAUUUUUGAAUAGCUACAUUAUUUUGGAGGUUGAAAGGGUGGCAAUAAUUAGCUAUAAUUUGUAUCACCACAAAGUCAGCCCCUCACUACCCUUUUCAAGAAAUCCUUAGAAUGUCUACAGUUGUGACCUCAGAUUAAAGUCUCUGACAAAGUCAAAGGCGUGGAUAGGAAGGAUCACGUGGUGGUGACAUUAUCACGGGAAGUAUCUGCCACACACUGAACAUUUUUGAGGUGAUACUGCUUGAACUCUUGACAUGGAAUUAGUGAAGGAUCUUAAUUGCCAAGUGAGUGUCGAGUGUUAUUUUUCGGCGAGUGAGGUUUUGGCGAAGCAUGAUGAGAAGUAUAUGCCGGCGGAAGUGGCAAAUGCGAUUGAGAAGAAUAAGAAGAAGCUUGCGGAAGAAGCGGGUGGGCGGAUUGAAGGACGGGAGGAUGCUGCUGCUGCUGUUCCGGCCGCGUAAAUUUUUGUACGUGUUUUCGGGUAUGUGUUACUAACCGACUGCCCGCUUCUAUUUUUCAAAGGAAGGUUUUAUAUAUAUGAAUGGAAUUAUACUAUGAUUGAAGUAGAUUAAUUAUAAGGAGGAUAAAUUGUUAGUCGGGAAUGAAAAAAGGGUGCGCGAUUACACCGGGGCUUUUUGGAUUGAUUAUUGUUGUAGGUUUCAUGGUUUUUACUGUUCUGAUUCUAUUGGGCAUAUUGUUCAGAUUGUAUUGAUUGGAUUUUGAUGA